UCCCGGCGCCACAAGUAGGGAUCAGGGUUAUUGGGCCUAAAGCGUUCGUAGCAGGUCGGGAAAAUCUCUUGUGAAAUCGUUGGGCUUAACCUAACGGCGUGCAGGAGACACUACUCGACUAGAGAUCGGGAGGGGUUAGGGGUAUUCCUUGGGGAGCGGUAAAAUGCUAUAAUCCUUGGAAGACCACCUGUGGCGAAGGCGCCUAACCAGAACGAGUCUGACUGUGAGGGACGAAGGCCAGGGGAGCAAU
rnacentral:rRNA from 1 species